rnacentral:rRNA from 1 species
GAUGAACGCUGGCGGCGUGCCUAAUACAUGCAAGUCGAGCGAACAGACGAGGAGCUUGCUCCUCUGACGUUAGCGGCGGACGGGUGAGUAACACGUGGAUAACCUACCUAUAAGACUGGGAUAACUUCGGGAAACCGGAGCUAAUACCGGAUAAUAUAUUGAACCGCAUGGUUCAAUAGUGAAAGACGGUUUUGCUGUCACUUAUAGAUGGAUCCGCGCCGCAUUAGCUAGUUGGUAAGGUAACGGCUUACCAAGGCAACGAUGCGUAGCCGACCUGAGAGGGUGAUCGGCCACACUGGAACUGAGACACGGUCCAGACUCCUACGGGAGGCAGCAGUAGGGAAUCUUCCGCAAUGGGCGAAAGCCUGACGGAGCAACGCCGCGUGAGUGAUGAAGGUCUUCGGAUCGUAAAACUCUGUCAUUAGGGAAGAACAAAUGUGUAAGUAACUAUGCACGUCUCGACGGUACCUAAUCAGAAAGCCACGGCUAACUACGUG